rnacentral:rRNA from 1 species
AUGCCUCAUACCGUCUUUAAAGACGACACUGUUGCUAAGGGAGCUUUGGCUGUCGGCCAAAAUCUCCGGCUAGGUGGUUUUCUUAUGACCGCCUAUUCAGACGCUGCACCGACGAUGACUUCUCGGGUCAUCAAAAGCAAUCUUCACCUCAACUCGGAACUCGCCGAGCAGUUAGAUCCAAUGGAGAUCUCUUCCCUAAAUGAGCUCUUGGAUCGCAUCGUUGCCCUGGGAGUCGCUACAGACUACGAUCAGAUUGGGCCUAAACCUGAUCUGAGAGAGAUCAACUCUCCCCAGAUCACCCAUCACGUUGCAGUGGUGGAGGAACAAUGCGGCGACCCUUCAUCUAUCUUAAGGACUAGCUAUGUCCGGAUUCCCGAUCCCUCCAAGCCGGAUACCCGCGGAUGGGAGGACGUCACUCACGACCUGAACCUAGAGUCAGGCAGCGGGCUAGAUUCAGUGGAAAACAUCCAAGAAUCCAAACUUCUGAGUUCGGAAACUCCUUGGCCCCUGAGUCUCAGAUUGGGUGAGGUUUCGGAUUCAAUUCCACCCACCCACCCAAACAUAAGCGAUCUAUCCCAAAUUAGGCAAGAGCCCGAAGAAACAGUACACCAUUACUGGGCCAGAUUCCUCCUGGUCAUGAACAGGAUAAAGGACUGCCGCAAGGAAGACGCAAUUUCAUUCUUCUGCAAUAAUUGCACGGACAAGGGAAUCCUCAACGCCAUAAGUCGCCGUGAAAUUACACGCUUUGCCGACUUGGCGUCCAUAGUACGAAAGUACUGUGCGAUGGAAAGCGCCUGGAAAACCGAAAUAAAAUUUUGGGACAAUCCGGCCCUGAAUACAAACCCAGUCAGAAAUAAAAGGGUGCAUUAUCGCCAGAUACCCGGGUUAAACACCAAAAAGCAAAAACCCUCUACAGGGCAUGGAACUGUACUUGAGGGAUGGCUCAAUGGACCCUGUAAAAUUUACAGUGCAGAGGGCGCCACACCAACUCAUAGCCUUAGAUCAUGCUGGAUAUUCCGGCAGGUGGCCAAAAGUGGUGAAGAUCUUCUAACUCAUGAAGCCACAGAGCACCAGCCUAGGGAUACGAGUACGGUAUUAACAGUCUUCGAGACUUUCGCAUCAAAUAAUAUGCGAAAACGAACACUCUGCAGCCUUGCUGAAGUCUACCACGUGGCAACAAUAAACCCAUGGAGUGACACGGCUAUUACUUUUAAUGCCAGUGAUGAACCUAAAUUCCGAACAGCCCGAGCACCAGCCGCAUUGGUCCUCAGUCCAAUAGUGGAUGGCUUUCGACUCACCAAGGUACUCAUGGACGAUGGCAGCGGAUUGAACCUCAUUUAUGAGGAAACCCUUCGAAAAAUGGAAAUAGACUGGAACCGCAUUGAGCAAAGUAGCACAACCUUUAGAGGAAUAAUCCCCAGCCGGGAAGCGCGCUGUACAGGAAAAAUCACACUAGAUGUGGUGUUCGGCACGCUGGAUAAUUAUAGGUCCGAAGAGGUCACGUUCCAAGUGGCCCCGUUCAGUAGCGGAUACCACACUCUAUUAGGGCGGGAGGCGUUUACAAUCUUCCAAGGCAUACCCCAUUACGGGUACAUGAAGCUCAAAAUGCACGGGCACAACGGAAUCAUCACUCUU